AUGUGGAGUAGGUACCAUCACUUUCAGCUUACAGAUGAGGACAUUAACCACAGAGAAAAUUGCACAAUGUGCCCGAAGAGGACGGGACAGCUGCAGAGCUCAGGUCUUCCGGCUGGGAGGCCGGGGCUGUUUCCGGGAGUUGGGGAGGGCCACAGUUGCCAUGCUCAGUGGACACAGCAGGGUGGGAUGGCUGGGUCAUGCCUCAAGGAUGGACUCUGGUCCUGGAGUGAAUCCUGGCUGUUAGUUCAGCUGUUUCAGCUGGUCCUGUCUCCUCUGAUCCUGGAUGCUAAGGGUAAGCAGGGAAGGGUCCAUGGACCCAGUUGGGAGUGUAGGAGGGCUAGGGACAGUGACAGACUGACCAAGGCAAGUGUAGAUGGAUCCAUGUGCAGCAAACCAGGAAAACACCAUGGCUACACAGAAAGGGGCAUUUGCACAUAACACAUACUGUUAGGACCCAUUACCAAGGAACAGAAUUCCAUUCUUAGUUGUACAUUCCUAAAUGCUAGUACAAGAACCUAAUCCAUGAACACUCUCCUAAGGCCACCCUUAAGGAGAUUUCCACCAGAGGUUAAAUGGUCAGAAGCCACAGGGUAGGGACUGCAGCUUCAUGGAAGGAGAAGGUGGGCAACAGCUCACAAGUCCCCUGAGAAUAUUCCAGAAGAGGCUGAGGAAUCACUGACCAGUUCUGCUGCUGAUGGGGUGAGGUUCGGGGUUGGAGCACUUGGUCUUUGAGGACCAUCCUUGUUCUGACCCUGUAUGGUAUGGUAUGUCCCAGGUCCUGUCUGUGCCCUGCCUGCUGUUCAUAAGGCUGCCCCCAUCCCCUCCUGUCAGGAGCAGGAGGGGCCUAGAAAAAGAGAAUUCUGUUGAGUUCCCAGCUGUUCCUUAGGUAAAUGGCAACUUAUUCAAGAUGUACAAUUGUCUGAAUAAAUCGUAGUUAGUUUGUGUGUAUGGUAUUGUUACUGAAACAUCAAGGGUUUGGUCUAGGUCCUGCUGCCUGUGGCACAGAAAGCCAAUGACUGAGCCGACAAGUACUGCCAAGGAAGAAGACUUUAAUUGGGUGCUGAAGCUGAUGAGAUGGGAGCUCAGCCUCAAAUCUGUCUCCCUGACUGACUAAAAUUAGGAAUUUUUUAAUAGCAGGGAAGAAAUGUAACAACAUGUGAGAAAAUAGGAACUAAGGAGUAGCAAGGGAGCAAUCCUGAUGAAUGAGAAGUCUCAUUGUCUGGAUUCCGUGAUCUGGUGAGUUUCAGUCCUUCCAUACUUUUUUUUGAGAGGGCUGAAGGUAGUU
rnacentral:lncRNA from 1 species